rnacentral:misc_RNA from 1 species
GAUGAAGAACGUAGCGAAAUGCGAUAAGUAGUUUGAAUUGCAGAAUUCAGUGAAUCAUCGAAUCUUUGAACGCACAUUGCGCCCCUUGGUAUCCCGAGGGGCAUGCCUGUUCGAGCGUCAUUUCACCACUCAAGCCUGGCUUGGUGUUGGGCGACGUCCCCUUUGGGGACGCGCCUCGAAACGCUCGGCGGCGUGGCACCGGCUUUAAGCGUAGCAGAAUCUUUCGCUUUGGAAGUCGGGGCCCCGUCUGCCGGAAGACCUACUCGCAAGGUUGACCUCGGAUCAGGCAGGGAUACCCGCUGAACUUAAGCAUAUCAAUAAGCGGAGGA